UGGGUGUGCUCAGAGCAAGGGGCCUGAAGAAGUGGCUCCUCUGUUUACAACACACCCAACAGGACUCUGGGUUCAUUGCGACAAGGGGCAUCCUACAGCUGUCCCGCCCAGCACCUCCACGUGG
ensembl:snoRNA